rnacentral:rRNA from 1 species
UACAGAGACUGCAAGCGUUAUUCGGAUUCACUGGGCGUAAAGGGCGCGCAGGCGGCUCAUUUUGUCAGGCGUGAAAGCCCCGGGCUUAACCUGGGAGGUGCGUUUGAUACGGAUGGGCUAGAGUUCGGGAGAGGAGAGUGGAAUUCCCAGUGUAGAGGUGAAAUUCGUAGAUAUUGGGAAGAACACCGGUGGCGAAGGCGGCUCUCUGGACCGAGACUGACGCUGAGGCGCGAAAGCGUGGGGAGCAAACAGG